rnacentral:rRNA from 1 species
GCGCAGCAGGCGAGAAUCCUCCACAAUGCGGGAAACCGUGAUGGGGGAAUCCGAGUGCCCGUUGGCUAAUGCUGGCGGGCUUUUCUCAAGCGUAAAAGGCUUGAGGAAUAAGGACUGGGUAAGACCGGUGCCAGCCGCCGCGGUAACGACCGGCGGUCCAACUGGUGAUCAGCAUUACUGGGCCUAAAGCGUCCGUAGCCGGAUGGUUGGAUUCUGAGUGAAAUUUCCCAGCUCAACUGGGGAAGCGUGCUUGGGAAACACCCCGCCAUCUUGGGACCGGGAGAGGUA